rnacentral:piRNA from 1 species
UGCGUUUUUUUAUGCAGUUGG